GGGGACGACCUGGUUUCGACGUGGGUUGCAAAGCAGAACAGGGCAUACCGAGGGCUGGUUACCUCGUAAAUACACCCAGAAACAAACUAACUGCAAACGAUAACUCGUACGCACUGGCUGCUUAAUUGCGCCUGCCCGACAACACCUCGCCCUUAGGGUGUGGCCGCAAGGCCGUGUUGGGUCAUUUAUAAGGGAUCGGACUUCGAGGGUUCACUUCGAGAAGUCCUAAAUCUAAGGUGAAUCGCCUGUCCGGAACGUGCACAUCCGUGCCGUACAGGUUAAAUUAAAUGAUAGUGCUAAGUAUGUAGAACUGUCUGUAGAGUGCUUGCGGACGCGGGUUCGAUUCCCGCCGUCUCCACCA
rnacentral:tmRNA from 1 species